UGCGCUUGGGGCCGGGGUUGCGGACUGGUCCGCGCCCUGGCGCGUCUCUGAGCGCGGCGAGCUCGGUGUUCGCGUCUUGGGUGCGAACGCCCCUCACCCCGUCGUCGGAGUCGCGCGCCUCAGGCAGGCGGGCAGCGCCGGACGCUGAGGAGGCGGGGUGCGCCGGGCCUGCACUCUCGUGGUCCCCGUCCGCAGGCGCUCCUCCCAGCACGGAUGGGCCGCACAGCGGGACACCCUGGGCGCCUCUGACCGUCCUGGGUGGUGAUGCCAGAGAAGCACCUUGUGCUGGACACUAGCUCACUGGCUGCUUCUGGAGACCUCCCUGCAACAGAUGGUGCAGGUGUUUGAGAAGGCAGAGUCCAGAAGCUUCACCAGCCCGAAGACUAUCACUGUUUCAGUACGUCAGUAAGGUGAAGGCGCUAGAGACCUGGGGAGACACGAGCGCCCGAGAGUCGGACACAGACCCGCAAACAUCCAGGGACCUGCUGCAUUUAAAGCUUCUUCAAGAAUCUCCUGGAUGGAGUUCCCGUCGUGGCGCAGUGGUUAACGAAUCCGACUAGGAACCAUGAGGUUGCGGGUUCUA